GUGAAAGUAGCUCUCCACUCGGAAACAGAGCAACUGCGCCAUUACACUUCCUGCUGUAACGGACUAAAACAGGGGGAAUAUAUGUGUUUUUAGACAGAGGACAUUUUAAUCACGGGGUUUAAACUGUAAUGAGGUAAAUAUGAAUAUGAGCCGCUCUGAAAUGUGGACACACUUCAGCUAAAGCAGCAGAUAUGUUUAUAUGAGGAACAGAAAAGGAUUUUAUUAGUUUGAAUCUACAGAAAGAGAUAAAGAUGGCGACUGCAAGCAAUGAGUUUAAACUCAUUGGUCCCAGUGAUGAAGAGCGGUUUAAUCCCUCUGCUGUCACUCUCUCAUGUCGUCUGUCUCCUGAAAUCAGUGCUGUUAACAUGGAGAUCCGGUGGUUUAAGGAGACAGACUGUGUUUGUGUCUAUAAGAACAGACAGGUGACAGAGGGGAGAGGUUACGAGGGCAGAGUGAGUCUGUUCACUCAGGAGCUGGAGAGAGGAAACGUCUCCUUACAGCUGAGAGACUGUGAAUGGUCAGAUACAGGACAUUACCUGUGUCAGGUCACUGCUGGAGACAGAACAGAGGAGAUUACAGUAUACAUGAGUAAGUGUUCCUGACCUCCACACUGCAUAAACUCCACAUCAUCAUCUGUGCUUCUCAUCUCAGUACAUGAAACACACACUCAGUAUUCAGUAUGAGGUUCAGUAUACAGGCUGCUAAUGUGGAGUGAAGUUCAUUUUAGUUGAAUAAACAGUAACUGUGUUUUUCACUCUGCUCCACACCUGCACAAGGGCCUAAAAGCAGCAGCUUGUACAAAUAUGAAUUAAAUAGUGAUUUAAAUUGUAUUUAAUUUUAUAAUCAGAGACAUUUUUCCAUCAGAGAGGACAUGAAAUUACACACUAAAUGUGGCCUUUAGAUUGUUCCAGUCAGGGGCGUCGCUAGACCCUUUUUACUGAGGCACGAGCUCCAGUAAAAUUUUCCUGAUAAAUCAUUGUCUGAUGAGGUAGAUUACAGUAGACAGGUCCGAAAAUAGGCUUUUCUAUUCAUUGAACGUUAUCAUUUACAUCAUUUGAGUGAUUUAAAACAUGAAGGCUGAUUGUAGCGCCAGCUGAAGCGAAAAUAUCCUGCGCAUCCUCUUCAAUCAUACGCCCCGCCCCCUCGCUGUGCUCCUCCUCCCUUCACUUUUCCCUGUGGAAACCUCCACUUUCAGUCAGACGAUAAUUCAUAAUCGACAUUGUAGCUGAGGAGAGCUAACCACCAGGCUAACGCUUAUCACUGUGUUAAUGAGUGCUAUGUGAAUUUGUAUUUAGCUGAAUGAGGACAUCCCGGUGUUGUACCGAAAUCUGACUCCCCGGACAAAUCAUACACCCCUUUGUGUGCAUCACGCAGUUGCCACGUGGUGCAGUGAGUUUGAACGCUCCUCUGUUUACCAUAGCUGUUCA